GGACCCGCACAAGCGGUGGAUGAUGUGGUUUAAUUCGAUGCAACGCGAAGAACCUUACCAGGGUUUGACAUCCUGCGAAUCUCUUGGAAACGAGAGAGUGCCUUCGGGAACGCAGUGACAGGUGGUGCAUGGCUGUCGUCAGCUCGUGUCGUGAGAUGUUGGUUAAGUCCCGCAACGAGCGCAACCCACGUCUUUAGUUGCCAGCAUUUAGUUGGGCACUCUAGAGAGACUGCCGGUGAUAAACCGGAGGAAGGUGUGGAUGACGUCAAGUCAUCAUGCCCCUUACAUCCUGGGCUACACACGUGCUACAAUGGUCGGUACAGAGAGCAGCCACUACGCGAGUAGGAGCGAA
rnacentral:rRNA from 1 species